GUAGGUGGCAAGCGUUGUCCGGAAAUUAUUGGGGCGUAAAGCGCGCGCAGGGCGGUCCUUUAAGUCUGAUGUGAAAGCCCACGGCUCAAACCGUGGAGGGUCAUUGGAAACUGGGGGACUUGAGUACAGAAGAGGAAAGCGGAAUUCCAAGUGUAGCGGUGAAAUGCGUAGAGAUUUGGAGGAACACCAGUGGCGAAGGCGGCUUUCUGGUCUGUAACUGACGCUGAGGCGCGAAAGCGUGGGGAGCAAACGAGGAUUAGAUACCCUGGUAGUCCACGCCGUAAACGAUGAGUGCUAAGUGUUAGUGGGUUUCCGCCCCUUAGUGCUGCAGCUAACGCAUUAAGCACUCCGCCUGGGGAGUACGGCCGCAAAGGCUG
rnacentral:rRNA from 1 species